CCUACGGGACGCAGCAGUAGGGAAUUUUGCGCAAUGGGCGAAAGCCUGACGCAGCAACACCGCGUGAAUGUUAAGCCCUUCGGGGUGUAAAGUUCUGUCAAUAGGGACGAAUUUUGACUGUACCUAUAAAGGAAGCACCGGCUAACUCCGUGCCAGCAGCCGCGGUCAUACGGGGGGUGCAAGCGUUGUCCGGAAUCAUUGGGCGGAAGGGGUUCGUAGGCGGCAAGGUAAGGCUGAUGGUCAAGCCGGGGGCUCAACUCCGGUUCGGCAUUGGAUACUAUCUAGCUAGAAUGUGAUAGAGGUAAAGGGAAUGCCUGGUGUAGCGGUGAAAUGCGUAGAUAUCAGGAGGAACAUCGGUGGCGAAAGCGCUUUACUGGACCAUUAUUGACGCUGAGGAACGAAAGCCAGGGGAGCAAAUGGGAUUAGAUACCCUGGUAGUC
rnacentral:rRNA from 1 species